UACGGGGGGGGCAAGCGUUGUUCGGAAUUACUGGGCGUAAAGCGCGUGUAGGCGGCCCGGCAAGUCGGAUGUGAAAGCCCUGGGCUUAACCUAGGAAGUGCAUUCGAAACUGCUGGGCUUGAGUUCUGGAGAGGAAGGCGGAAUUCUCGGUGUAGAGGUGAAAUUCGUAGAUAUCGAGAGGAACACCGGUGGCGAAGGCGGCCUUCUGGACAGUGACUGACGCUGAGACGCGAAAGCGUGGGGAGCAAACAGG
rnacentral:rRNA from 1 species